rnacentral:rRNA from 1 species
AAAAACAUGUCCUUUUGAGCUUAAUUUAAGGUCUAGCCUGCUCAAUGAAUUUUAAAUAGCCGCAGUAUCUUGACUGUGCAAAGGUAGCAUAAUCAUUAGUUUUUUAAUUGAAAGCUGGAAUGAAAGGUUGAAUGAGAAAAUAGCUGUCUCUAUAAAAAUUUUAUAGAAUUUUAUUUUUAAGUUAAAAAGCUUAAAUUUAAAUAAAAGACGAGAAGACCCUAUAGAGUUUUAUAUUUAUAAAUUAUAGUUUUUUUAGUAUUUUAAAGUUUAUAAUUUUAUUAUAUUUGGUUGGGGUGAUUGGAAAAUUUGAUAAACUUUUCUUUUAAAUAAACAUUUAUUUAUGAAAAAAUGAUCCUUUUUUAAAGAUUACAAGAUAAAAUUACCUUAGGGAUAACAGCGUAAUUUUUUUUGAGAGUUCUUAUCGAAAGAAAAGAUUGCGACCUCGAUGUUGGAUUAAAAUAAAUUUUUGGUGUAGAAGCUAAAUUAAUUAGGUCUGUUCGACCUUUAAAAUUUUACUUGAUCUGAGUU